GCCGUCGUCGACCAGUGGACCGUCGUCCUCGAAAGGUUGCCCAACUUUCUUGUACAUCUGAGGAAGACGGGGGUUCGAUUCCCCUCGGUGGCU